rnacentral:rRNA from 1 species
UACGAAGGGGGCUAGCGUUGCUCGGAAUGACUGGGCGUAAAGGGCGCGUAGGCGGUUUGUACAGUCAGGUGUGAAAUUCCCGGGCUCAACCUGGGGGCUGCACUUGAUACGUAUGAACUGGAGUGGGGAAGAGGGUCGUGGAAUUCCCAGUGUAGAGGUGAAAUUCGUAGAUAUUGGGAAGAACACCGGUGGCGAAGGCGGCGACCUGGUCCUUGACUGACGCUGAGGCGCGAAAGCGUGGGUAGCAAACAGG